UUCUACUCUCACUCCUUGCUUUUCUUUUUAUGCUUCUUCUUCUUCUUCUUCUUCUUCGCUGCCUUGCUGUCUUUUGAUGUGUUCCUUGCCCUUUUUCCAGUAUCACUCUCAGAGUCUGAGCUUUCAGAGUCAGAUGACUUCUUAUCUCCAAGUUUCUUUUUCUUCUUUGCUGCCUUGCUGUCUUUUGAUGUGUGCCUUGCCCUUUUGCCAAUAUCACUCUCAGAGUCUGAGCUGUCAGAGUCAGAUGACUUCUUAUCUCUAUGUUUCUUUUUCUUCUUUUCCUUCUUUCUUUUUCUGGAUGAAUUUCUUGUGGGAUUAGGCUUCUCAAAUUCUGCCAACUUUGCCUCUUCUUUCUCCUCUUCCUCAUCAAGUAUCAGAGAAUAUUUGGUCCCACCUGGUUGCAUGAAACAGUCUUUUGCAAAGUGACCUUUACAGCAGCACUUCUUGCAGGUAGUGUUAAGGACAGCCUCAAGGGUGAUCUUCUCCCCAGUGUAAUCCUGGAGGGACCGCCUCCUCCUCUCUUCUUGCUCAAUAAUAAUGUUGUUGGGAUCGAGGUCUUUCCUAGUUCCUUGGUUGACAACUUUCAUGGAGAGGGAUACUUUUAUCCUAUCAUUUUUCAUCUCUUGGCCAAUAAGCUUCACCCACACUUUGCCUCCAAUAUCUAAUAUCUCAGAGGGCUUAUCCACCCAACAAAAUGAUGUGUGAGUUUGCUGGACCAGACCUUUCCUUGGAAAAUAGUGUAGAGAUCAGGCAAGUUUUCCAUGGUCUCAGGCCUUCCUGAAUUCAUCCUUACUUCUAUGGCUGCUCCAUUUCUCUUCUGCUAAAGCUAAUUCUAGUGUCAGCUCCGACUCCCAGAGCCACUGCAUUGCCCAAAAGCCAAAAUCUCUUAUUCUUUUGGAA
rnacentral:lncRNA from 1 species